rnacentral:rRNA from 1 species
UACGUAGGGGGCAAGCGUUGUCCGGAUUUAUUGGGCGUAAAGAGCUCGUAGGUGGUUCGGUAAGUCGGAUGUGAAAUCUCCAGGCUCAACCUGGAGGGGUCAUUCGAUACUGCCGUGACUAGAGGUCGGUAGGGGAGUGUGGAAUUCCUGGUGGAGCGGUGAAAUGCGCAGAUAUCAGGAGGAACACCCGGGGCGAAGGCGGCCCUCUGGCUCGACCCUGACGCUGAGGCGCGAAAGCGUGGGGAGCGAACGGG